GAGAUCGAGUGGCUUGAGAACUGCCGCAUAAGCCUAAAGGGAAACGCUCCCCGCUCUUUGGCAUGUGGGAGCUAAUGCUCCAGGAGAAGCCCACUUGAGGUGUGGUCCCAGCGUUGACUGCCAGUCUCAUUAACAUGAUGAAGUCAUAGAUUUCUGGACUGUGCACAGAGCAGCCCGUGUCAGAACCAGCUCCCUCGAAAAUCAGUGCUGGUGAUUCAGAGCAUCUGUCUUUGUGACUUGCAAUAUGGGACUUAAAUUUUGAAUCUAUCUCUGUACUUCACUUUCUACAGCUUCCUGAGAGCUAUGGCAGGCCUCUCUUGGUCAGCAGCCCCUCCAGUGUCUAAGAUGACUCCCUCGCAAUUUGGGACGCACUCCCACCUGAGCCCUGCAAAGCCCAGAAGGCCAGGGUAUUAGAAGACUGCAUUUUUCAUCACCAUUUCCCCAAGAUGUUCCCUUCCCAAGACUGUAAAUGUCCUCCAGCCUGUUUUUAGCAAAGGUGAUCUGAAUUAUGAUGCCUGGGGGUUACCGACAGGCACUCACAGCAAUAGCAUGAAGCCCUAACGAACAAGGCCUGGUUGGGACCUCUGCUUGCUGCCUAGCUGGGAUCAUAAGUAGACAGAGAAGGAGCUGAGAGGGACGAUUACAUUGAUCCAAUAUCUAGAUGGGCAGGGGGCAACUGAAUGAAGAACUCUAAGGUAAAAACCACACCAUGCUGAGUCUGAGUGUGCCUUUUGAUAUCCAGAAGUCUGAUCUGCUCUUUUAUCAGAUAGGGAAACUGAGGCCCAGAGAGGGAAAGGACUUACCCAAGAUCACAGAGCAAGGUUAUGGCAGAGCCCAGAGCUUUUGUGUCUUGACUUCUGACCAGGGCAGAGGGGGACAUUGAGCAAAAGCCCCUGAGGGUCAGGAAGAUCAGUUCAGACUUGUGUCCUGGAGCUAGGAAGGAAUCAACCUGAAUGAAGCUCUUCUCUCCACUGGGCCUUUUCUUUGGGACUCCUGGAGCUUCCAGGGAGCUGGUUCAGGUGGGGACGUUUCUGAUAUAUUCAUUCAAUAAAUACAUAUUGAAUGUCUGCUAUGUUAUCACCAUAGUAAGAAAAUAAGAAGUGGUGACUGUUCCCCACAGGGUCAACAGUCGAAUGUAGUGGUGAAGAUUAUAGGCACUGGGCUGAGUGUGGUGACUCACACCUGUAAUCCCAGCACUUUGGGAGGCUGAGGCAAGUGGAUCACUUGACGUCAGGAGUUCGAGACCAGCCUGGCCAACAUGGUGAAAUCCCGUCUCUACUAAAAAUACAAAAAAAAAUAGCUGAGCAUGGUGGUGCACGCCUGUAUUCCCAGCUACUCGGGAGGCUGAGACAGGAGAAUCACUUGAACCUGGGAGGCAGAAGUUGCAGUGACAGUAAACCAGGGAUAGUGGCAGGCACCUGUAAUCCCAGCUACUUACGAGGCUGAGGUAGGAGAAUCGUUUGAAACGGGGAGGCGGAAGUUGCAGUGAGCCAAUAUUACAACACUGCACUCCAGCCUGGGCAACAGAGCAAGACUCCGUCUCAACAACAACAACAACAACAACAACAACAAAAGAUUAUAGGUGCUGGAAUCAUUUGGCCCGGGGCCAAGCAUGGGGACACCCUGAGCUACACAGGCAAGGACAUCCAUACAGACCCUCAGGCAGAACGAUGUGCAUGUUCACUCACAGUGACACAGGUACUGUACACACAGGCACAAACACAUAGACACAUGUAUAAAUGUGUCCACAUCAGACACACAUAUACAUAUCUCACACAGACACAGGCAUAUAUAGGUACACAACAUGUGUAUAUACACAUGCAUGUGCGCACACACACAGAACCUUCUUAUAUUCUCCCCCCAUAAGCAAAUUGCAGUCUCAGCAAUGCUAGAAAUGACAUCUACAUAUUCUCCUGGAAAAACAGACUUCCUAAAUGCUGCCUGAUUCAUGACCAGGGGUGCCUGAGUCUCUCCCCCUACAUCACCCGCUGCUCUACGCAUUUGGUGAGGAGAAGACAGAACGCAGGGUCUGAGCCACUCCUGCCUGAUUCAUUCCUCUCUGGGGCCACAGAGUUUUCUCUUCCCUGCUUAGAGCAGCCUCCCAGGCUCAACACCUUGAGUUCUGC
rnacentral:lncRNA from 10 species